GGAAGACUCUCAGAAACAGCAUCGAGUCUGAUGAACACCCGGUGCAGCGUCCCUCAGCGAAGUUCGCGAACUCGGUUAACAAAUGAGUGACAGAGAAAGAGUUUUAAGAGAAAGAAAAAGUAAAAGAAAAUCGAGGGGGAAGGCUAAAGACGAGCUCUCGGUGAGAGAUGUGGGAUGAGAGGUUAUUGCGCAAGCUAAGUGAUAUAGAUCGGCGGACAUUUCUCGUUGGACCUGAAGGUCGGCUAAUCGGGUCGACAUGAAAGUGAACCAAGAUUGUUAUGUAUAAAAAGUAUAGACAAGCGAAAGUAUGACAGUCAUGUCUAUUAUAAAAAGAGAGGUUACCGCGAGGUGCCAUAUUUCGUUCGGUAAAGGACAAUCGUAAAAGAAAAAAAAAUAGAGAAUAGCGUCUAAUAGAGAUGACCGCGGCAGUCUUUCUGAUAUUGAAGAUUGCGAUUCAACUAUGAUUUAAGUUGCGUGUGUUCCAUCUUUAUAAUUAUAUCGGUUAUUUCGUGUUCGAUAUCGCAAUAAACAUGGGGUCAUGCGACAUCGUCAUCAACAUCCACGAUAGAUGGGAUGGCUUAUAGAGAGCAACGCACGCUCUGCAACCGCGCGCGAUUAUUGCGCAACCUGGUGCGUUGCGCAUCAACCGAUGACUCGCAUUGAUGGUUCGACAUCUUGUAUCAAAUCGACUUGUACCAAAGCAGAAGUAAAAUCAGUUCUAUGGAAAUAAUAAUAAAUCACAUCGGUCUUUCCCAUGCAUUUCUCAUCUCAUUGGUAAACGUUCAGCCUUCGUUCCACCAGCUUCACAAUCUUGAAGGAUAAACAGAUAAAUAUUUCUCAGCUAACAUUGGAAGAGUUAAUACGCUUAAUUAUCAAUCUCAUGGUAAUAAAUUCAAUCCAUGCUAUAUGGACAUUGGAUUUCUGGAAUCGGAUCAGAUAAAGAAAAUGUAGGAAAUGAAGAUGAAAUUAAGAAAACAUAGGACAGAAUAUAGAAAUCAACAUGAUUUGAUGAUCGAUAGGAUCGGUGAGUUGUGAGUCGAUUCGAAUUAACUGGUAUAGAGGUGCGGCUUGCGCAAAAAAAACGGGGCAAUCGUGAGUCUCGAUAAUAGGAUACUAUGAUCGUUCGAGACAAUGUAUAUCUUAGCUUGAGAAGAAUAAACUGAAAAGAAUAGACUGGGAUGCUUUCUAAACGGAUCGAGUCUCCGAAUACACCGAUACGCUUUGAGAAGACCCAGCCCUUUGCCGCGCUAUCCGUGCAUUCAUCUAUCUUGCUGCUCGUGUUAUGCCAGAGGUGAGGUUCAUCGGUGAAACACUUCAUCGAGAAUUGUUCCGCCGCAGUCUCAACGCUCGUCGAAUCGCUCUAACGGUGGGCGCUGUCUCCAAAAAAGGAUCGUGCAUGAGAAGACGGGAUCCUAGCCAAGUAAUAAGUGAUCUAUGCUUUAAUGUUCCAUCGUUCUUCUAGUUGAGGCACUUGAUCUUCUCGGUAAAAGCCGAAUAUGGUGUUACUGAUAGUUUUAUGGGAGAAAUAAAAUUUUUUUUCUCCCAUAAUUCCAGAACUCCCUUCUUAUUGUUCUAAUGUAUCUUUUUAGCAAUAGAUUCUACUACACUUUUGUUCUUAUAUUUUUUUUCCAGUGAGAAAAUUGAAAUCUUUAGAAGAUUGGAUAUUUUAUUUCGUUAGAAUAUUUAUCAAGACUGUAUGACUAAAGUACACUGUGAAAUAGAAAUAUCGUUAUUUGUUCAUCUGUUGCAGUUUAAUGGAUUAGGAAACAUUAGAUUUGAUAGGUUAGUUAAUUGCAGUUAUGAACACAGCAUGGCAUAUGCAUGUGUAAAGAGAAAUAAUUUCAUACUCUAUUGCCGCGAGGAUAUUCCCGUAAUCAGAAUAAUCAGACGACAAUUCCAAAUCAACUUUCUCCCCAGUAAGAAUUCUAAGAGAAUAAGACACGAACGAAAAUUGCGGAAGCGGCUCACACGUCGUUAUUGAAUAAUAAUCUCGAACAGGAGGGACUGCACGCAUAAUGCCUCCCUACUAUCGUCUCGAGUCUUGCUUUGUUACGAUCUUACUAGAUAGAUGAUUGCACCAUUUCGAAAGAGCCACAUAGAGGUCGGCAAAGGAGGAAAAUAUUUUUGCGGUUUAGAUAGUUCUUGAAUGUCUUGAUGCAACCAUGUGGACGCAAUGAUAACAGGGAGCAUGACGAAGUAGAUGAGCACGUGUUUCCCGCGACUAAACUAUCUUCUCGCAAUUCUGUGCAACAACCUGAUGCAAUUGAUGGAGAAUUCUUGUGUAUUGGAAUUCUUAAAAUACGUAUUAGUAUAUACUUUCAUCCAGGAUACCGAGCGUACUAUCGUGAUGAUAAUCGUUUCUCGUUCACAGUAAUAUAUAAAAUUUAAACAUUUCUCCUUUUGCUUAGAUGAUGUCUUUAGGCUAUGACCAAGGAACGAUUGACCAGGAUAAAGAUGGUAGGAGGAUUAAAGAACAAAGGAACGUUAGUAAAAUUAUCUUUUAUUAGAGAUUACUACUGAUGAAUCUUUUUCGUUGGAAUUUGAAAACAUAUCGCAAUUAUUCGAUUCGGGAUCCUCCACGAUCGACGCGAUCGAGACUAACCGAGAUGUCGUUUUCUCGUUUUAAAAGGGUCAUCUCCUGAGUGAGCGAGUGAAUGGGUACUCACGGUAGCACACUCUGAGCCUUCUCUUCGUGAGCUGGCUCAUGGUUACGGGAAAAGAAAAUAUAGUUCAGUCUGGUUGCAUAAUAGAGGUGCAUCACAUUGGAUCGACUGAAGUACUUUGAGAAUCUAUAGUAACAGCGAAUAUUUCUUCUUCUAGCGUCAAUGCUGACCUUUGAAGCUGAAAGCAUAGCUGAACACUUGUAACACCGUUGUUCGCUGAGGGUAGGGGUGCAGUCAUGCUGUAGCGAAGAUGAAAACCAUUAGCCCCGAGCUAUAGAGUUAGAUGAUCUAAUUUCUAUAUAGUUUGUAUACCGACACCCGGACUCGACCUGUUCACCUUGGAUGCUGAGCAAUAUAAAAGCAAGCUCUUCGACUCAUGAGCUUAAAACGAUGCUCGAUUGCAUCGUCAAACCAUGAACUAAUAUAAAAUUGAAUUCAAUCGGUUUGUAUUAUGUUUAAUUUUAUGAUAAAUUUAAGACAUCAAUUUAAUUUUUAUAAUUUUCAUAAUUCAAUUUGAAACAUGAGAAAUAUUUUAUAAAAAAUAAAAAAAAUCAAUUUUUUUUAUUAUAUUUAUUUAGUGAAAUAUUUUUUUUUAAAUUUAUAAUAGUAAUUCUAUUCUCUCUUACAUAUUUACAUCUCUUAGAUAUUUCACGAAUACAUGUUAAUUAAAAUCGAUGUGAUCUUAGAUCUAAUUAAUAGUGAUGCAGAUGAUUAGGAGUCACAUUCGUGUUUAAUUUAAUUGGAACGUUAAUUAGAUAGUAAGUUAUAGCGAAGCUCAGCACUAUAUUCUUUUCAGUGUAACAUAUAUUUUUAAUUUUUUUCUCAUUAACCAUUUCUACUAUUCAUUUUAAAUAAAAUGUUCUUAGGUAUUAUUAAUUUCCAAAAAUUAUGAUUUCCUAGAAUAUUUCCUAUAGAAAAUAUAUAUAUUUUUUAAUAUUAAUUUUAUAUAUAUAUAUUUUAAUAAAACAAAAAAACUAUAUAUGAAGUUAUAUUUUUUUUAACUCUUUUAUAUUUUUUGUCUGUGUUAGAUUUUUUUUUAAAUUUAAAUAUAAAGACACAUAUAAUAUAUAAAUUUGAAAUAAAAUAUUGAUAAUCAUGAUAAUCAUACAUGAGGAACAGUAUCUCUUCUAUAUCUCAUCUAUGAUAUGAAUGAAUUGAAAGUUGUUGUUCCAGUCUGUUACCUACAAAUGGUAAAUCGCAUGCUUUUUGGCACAAAUGAUUGAUCUAUUUUUUAAAUAUAUUUUAAAUAUACUUAUAAAACUUAAUAAUAAAUAAUUUUUUCGAAACUAUAAAAACAUAUAGAGACUAAAAUUUCAAACACAAUUAUAUAAUAAUUAUAAAUUAUAAAUUAAUAUUUAACAUUGUAAAUAUAAAAUUAUUAUUUUAUUUUAUAAAAUUUCAAAAUAUAAUAUAAAAAUUAUUUUUCAUGUU